ACCCGCUGAACUGAAACAUCUAAGUAGGCGGAGGAGAAGAAAAACAAAAAGUGAUUCCGUAAGUAGUGGCGAGCGAACGCGGAUUAGCCCAAACCAGAGUUGUUACGGCAAUUUUGGGGUUGUAGGACCACGACAUUCUAUGCGGAUUGAACCGGAAUAACCUGGAAAGGUUAACCAAAGAGGGUGAUAGUCCUGUAUGGGUAAGAGAAGAUAUAGAUAGUGGUAUCCUGAGUAGCGCGGGGCACGUGAAACCCUGUGUGAAUUUGGCGGGACCAUCCGCUAAGGCUAAAUACUCCUGAGAGACCGAUAGUGAACCAGUACCGUGAGGGAAAGGUGAAAAGAACCGUGAAUAACGGAGUGAAAUAGAACCUGAAACCAUACGCUUACAAGCGGUCGGAGCAGCUACGUGCUGUGACGGCGUGCCUUUUGCAUAAUGAGCCUACGAGUUACUCCUCUCUAGCAAGGUUAAAGAUUUAAGAUCUGGAUCCGAAGCGAAAGCAAGUCUGAAUAGGGCGUAUAGUUAGAGGGGGUAGACGCGAAACCUUGUGAUCU
rnacentral:rRNA from 1 species